rnacentral:lncRNA from 1 species
AUGAACCUAAAAAGUAAUUUUUGCUUAUAUUUUGACACGGAGGGAGUACAUGUCAAUUUUGAUAGUUUAAGGAUACAUUUUAUAUAUUUUACCCUUGCCUUGCAAUUAAUUGGAUUCUAAAUUUUCUCCACAAUAAUUAUUUUCCACUAAUAAAUAUAAUGUGUUGGUCCAAUUUUAAGUGGAUUUAUUCAUGCACUCUCCCAAGAAAUGACUAAUGGACUCUCCCUCGAAAUCUAUCGUGUGACUGUUUCUAGAAAGGUUUUCUUCCUCACCAUUUAAAUCAUGUAGUUCUUGAUUUAAAUCAAAUAGCGGCUCUUCAUUUAAAUCAAACAAUGGUUCUUCAUUUAAAUCAAGCGGAAAAGCAUUGAGAUCCACAACGAAAUUUUGUU